rnacentral:rRNA from 1 species
GACGAACGCUGGCGGCGCGCCUAACACAUGCAAGUCGAGCGGAGAAAUUAAAGCUUGCUUUAAUUUCUUAGCGGCGGACGGGUGAGUAACACGUGGGCAACCUGCCCUUGAGAGGGGGAUAACACAGAGAAAUUUGUGCUAAUACCGCAUAACAUUUAGACUUCGCCUGGAGUUUAAAUCAAAGGAGUAAUCCGCUCAAGGAUGGGCCCGCGGCGCAUUAGCUAGUUGGUGAGGUAAUGGCUCACCAAGGCGACGAUGCGUAGCCGACCUGAGAGGGUGAUCGGCCACAUUGGAACUGAGACACGGUCCAGACUCCUACGGGAGGCAGCAGUGGGGAAUAUUGCGCAAUGGGGGAAACCCUGACGCAGCAACGCCGCGUGAGCGAUGAAGGCCUUCGGGUUGUAAAGCUCUGUCUUUGGGGACGAUAAUGACGGUACCCAAGGAGGAAGCCACGGCUAACUACGUGCCAGCCGCCGCAGUAAAAC